rnacentral:rRNA from 1 species
CGAAAGCCUGACGGAGCAAUACCGCGUGAGGGAGGAAGGUUCUUGGAUUGUAAACCUCUUUUCUUAGGGAAGAAGUACUGACGGUACCUAAUGUAAGCAUCGGCUAACUCCGUGCCAGCAGCCGCGGUAAUACGGAGGAUGCAAGCGUUAUCCGGAAUCAUUGGGCGUAAAGCGUCCGCAGGUGGCUCAUCAAGUCUGCUGUUAAAGACAGAAGCUCAACCUCUGAUAGGCAGUGGAAACUGGUGAGCUGGAGUACGGUAGGGGUUGAGGGAAUUCCCAGUGUAGCGGUGAAAUGCGUAGAUAUUGGGAAGAACACCAGUGGCGAAGGCGCUCAACUGGGCCGUAACUGACACUCAGGGACGAAAGCUAGGGUAGCG